GGCCUCCUAGCUCAGUUGGCUAGAGCGUUGGCUGUACGAAACCUUCCCCUUUCUGGUGUGGGUUCGAAUCCCACGGAGGUCA
rnacentral:tRNA from 1 species